rnacentral:tRNA from 1 species
GCCUGGGUGGCUCAGUCAAUUGAGCGUCUGACUCUGAUUCAGGUCAUGAUAUCAGGGUUCGUGGGUUCGAGCCCCGCGUCGGGCU